rnacentral:rRNA from 1 species
GAUAACACUUAGAAAUAGGUGCUAAUACCGCAUAAGCGCACGAAGCCGCAUGGAUUUGUGUGAAAAACUCCGGUGGUGUAAGAUGGACCCGCGUCUGAUUAGCUUGUUGGCGGGGUAACGGCCUACCAAAGCGACGAUCAGUAGCCGGCUUGAGAGAGUGACCGGCCACAUUGGGACUGAGACACGGCCCAAACUCCUACGGGAGGCAGCAGUGGGGGAUAUUGCACAAUGGGGGGAACCCUGAUGCAGCGACGCCGCGUGGGUGAAGAAGUAUUUCGGUAUGUAAAGCUCUAUCAGCAGGGAAGAAGAUGACAGUACCUGAGUAAGAAGCCCCGGCUAACUACGUGCCAGCAGCCGCGGUAAUACGUAGGGGGCAAGCGUUAUCCGGAUUUACUGGGUGUAAAGGGAGCGUAGACGGUUGUAUAAGUCUGGAGUGAAAGCCCGGGGCCCAACCCCGGGACUGCUUUGGAAACUGUGUAACUUGAGUACAGGAGGGGCAGGCGGAAUUCCUGGUGUAGCGGUGAAAUGCGUAGAUAUCAGGAGGAACACCGGCGGCGAAGGCGGCCUGCUGGACCGUGACUGACGUUGAGGCUCGAGAGCGUGGGGAGCAAACAGGAUUAGAUACCCUGGUAGUCCACGCCGUAAACGAUGACUGCUAGGUGU